UCACCGAAAAUUAGAAUCAGAGCAUUCAGAGCAGGGUUGAAACAUAAUGUUACAAUAUUCAAAUCUCCCCCAGCCCACCCUGGGUCUCCUCACGGUGCCUGUCACCACCUGGCAUUGUCUGCCAUUGCCCCAUUGCCCCCAGCAGAAGAGUGGCUGAGUCCCACAUGCCUAGAAGAGCCUGGCACAGAACUAUUAGGCAAAUUUGCGGUUGGGAGAACAGACCUCAGUUUACUCCUCUGUGAAAGUCAACUGUAGGGUCUCUCCCCAACUCCAAACCCCCAACUCUCUGGGAAGCUGGGAGGACCAGGAGGGCUGGAAGGGUGGUGAGGAGCCCAUGUCUUAGGGGCAGGUGCUGGCUGCGGUGACAGCAAGCCCUCCGCCCCCAGCAGGGCAUGUUCUGUUUCACACUUGGGGCCCCCGUGCCGGCCAGGAACUUCAUGUGCAGUUCUUAAACGGAUGUACCUGUAGGUGUAUGAUUGUUAGAAACGGAUUUUGCUUAUUUCAGUAAAACUAUAAAUAUGGAACUUAUUAGCCAUCAUUAUCAUAUGCUUACAUUCUGAAAGGCUAUAUAGUGUAUAUUAUGUCCUCAAAGAGUGGAACUUGCCGAUUAUGAUCAAGAACAAUGACAGCACUGAUUACAUUGUUUAUUCAUCAUCUUGGAGAGGGAGAGCAACAGGGACCACGGACAAAUAUCCCCACACUUCAGACAAGUUCUGGGGCCCUGGAGCUCUGGAGGGACAGAUAUCCGGGUGAGAAUGUAAAUCUACCCCAGGCCCCAGCCUGGGACCCUGGGGACACUCACCAGGGCCAGGAGGGGUCCCCUAGGCACCUGCCCAUGCCGGCUCCCGCCAGGCCCCGCAGUGGGUCAGAGCACCACAGCUGGCAUCCAUUUGCCCUCACUUGUCCUAGGGUCACCAUCCUGAGCCUCAGCUGCAACAUGGGGAUGGAAGCAGCUCCCUCGUCACAGGGGUGCUGGGAGGACUCAGUGAACAAGCAGGAGGGAAGGGAACCCAGCCCACGGAGGAAGCGAUCACCCGUGUGAGCUCCUCUUCAGCCCUUGUCACGCCCGGGACUGUCACGGAGGAGGCAUGGGCCCAUUUUACAGAUGGGGCUCAUCACAGCAGUAGCUCACAGGUGUUAACACCCCCUCACACCAGGUGCCUCCGUGCACGACGUUGUCACCUGCACAGGGGAGGAGGCUGCACAGUGGACCAGAUCACACAGCCUGUGGAGGACUGAGGCUCAGUGUAGGGCUUUUGGCCCCCAGGGCUGGGUUUGGGGACCAGCCCCGAACCCACCCUGCUGGGGACGCUCUGUCACAGUGCCAAUGAGAAGGUGGUGGACACGGGCAGCUGCUCACCCUGCAGCCCACCCCUUCUUCCUUCACCUGCAGAGCCCUGGAUUUGUUCUUCAGCAAGAGACCUGGUGGGCCUCUCCAGCCCAGGGGAGAAGCCAAGCCAAACCUGGCGCGCACGCCCCCCUCCUGCACCUUCUCCAGACAUAGGCUUUAGGAGAGGGUGUGUGAUCCAGAUCUGGCUGACUUGAAUGUUGGCCUGGGAGGUGAUGUUUGGAGCUGUGGCAGACUUCUUGCUACCCUGAGGCAAUACACUAACGACAAAAAGCCAACAGCCAAGUAUGGUAAAGAGGAGCUGGUAAAAGACCCUGGGUCUUUGCUGAUGUCUCUGAGCAUCUGACCAGGCUGCAACCACCUUCCUCCAGCCAACAGAUUAUGUGGGGACAUCUCAUGUCUCAGUUGUUUAGGUGACGGUUUUUCAGUUUUCUGAUACCUGCUGCCCAUCCACCUUAACCAAUGGAGGUGCCUCCUCUGUGCCCCACGCGUACCUGCCGGAGCCCCUGCCACACAGGGUCAUCACCUGCCACCCCUUCAGACCUGAGAAUCCCAGAAGUGAGGGUGGUGUCUUGGAGGUCUUUUUAGCUCCCGAGUGUCACAUGGGACACGAGGCACAGCGAUUACCACAGCAUAAAUAAUAUGAAGGAAGAGAAGAAGGAAAGAACAGUUAAUAAAUGAAUGAUCAUAGUGAAGGUGGAGUUGCUUUGCAAACUGUGAAGUGCUGGGCCCCAGUGCCGGUGAGGUGCCAGCCUGUGGAUGCCUGUGGGGGAUGGGAAGCUGCAGAGUGGAGAGCCAGAGAUCAGAGAAGAUUCCUCAGAGUGAAUGACACCGUGUCUUCCUCCCAGACGCCCCCUGCCUCUCCACCCUGCUGCGCAGACCACAGAUACCAGGGUAAGAGAUCUGCUCCACCCCCAAGAUGCCUUCCACUGACAGCUGGCUUCAGGAGAUUUGACAGAAUUCAUUUUUCCAAGCAGACAAGAGGGAUCUCAGUAUUAAACAAAACAACUUCCACCACAAGAACUCUGUUAACUCCUUAACUUCAUGGCAGUGUGGGGGUGGGGUGGGGGGAGUUUCUGGCAAAACUGGGAAGUCCCUUGCUUCCUCUGAAGGGCUGCCUGUGGUGGGGCGAGCAUAGAUGGAGGUGACCGAGCCCCUCCUCAUGUCUGCCUCUCUGCCCUCUGGGUUGCCCUGGGGAACCAGCCAUGCAGAGCCCUGACCUGCCAGAGGUGGAGGCUCGGGGCCUCAGCCUCCCCUCUGUUACCCUGUUCUGGCUUUCAAAGCUGCCAUAUCCCCAGGAGACACGUUUCCCGUGUCACCUCCUUUUGUCCACAAGGUCCCCGAGUGUUUACCUCUGUGUGGGACUGCCGGUAGUCACUCAUCCUCUCUGACCUCAGGGUCUUGGCUGUAAAAACCACAGACUGGAUGAGAUUUACUUCCAGAGCCCACAGA